rnacentral:rRNA from 1 species
CGUCUCAGUUCAGAUUGCAGGCUGCAACUCGCCUGCAUGAAGUCGGAAUUGCUAGUAAUCGCAGAUCAGCAUGCUGCGGUGAAUACGUUCCCGGGCCUUGUACACACCGCCCGUCACACCAUGGGAGUCGGUAACACCCGAAGUCGGUAGCCUAACCGUAAGGAGGGCGUCGCCGAAGGUGGGAUUGAUGACUGGGGUGAAGUCGUAACAAGGUAGC